UGGUCACCAGUUCACCAAAUAACCCCAUUAAUAUUGUCUUAGCUUCCCCAUGGCUGGCUAACCCAUUAUUCCUUGGAAAAAAAGGUGAGGUUGUGUCUUAGAACCCAGCCUGCUUAAACCUUAUCUGUCUCUUUCUUCUCAAGCCAAUCAUGUAGAAGGCCCUAAAACCCAGAACAAAGUGAAGAUUUCAACACUUCACUUUCAAGACUGACCUCACAGAAGUUUUCAGUCAAGUCACUGUACCAAAGUUACCACCUCACUGACCCUGGAACUGCUCCAAUGAGCUUCUGACAGAGAAUGCUUAUCAACGUCAAUGGUUUCUGGCAUCAUGAUGCAAAUCCAGAUUGCUGAGUGUCACUGCAGUAUUUAUGUGAAGCUGAGCCAAGUGGAGCAAUUGAGUCUCAUCAACACUCACCAUGAAUGAAGAUCCCACUCUCUUUAUUCCUGCUACUAAUCAGCCUCAUUGGUGUGAAAUGUCAAAGUCUUGAGUCAUUACAAACAACCAUGCAGAAGAAACCUGGCGACACGCUGAGUCUCUCCUGCAGAGGAUCUGGAUUCACUUUUAGCAGCUACCAAAUGCACUGGAUCAGACAGCAGGCAAACAAACCACUGGUGUGGAUGGGGUACAUCUAUACUGAUGGCAGUAAAACUGGAUAUAGUACAUCUUUUGAAGGGAGAACAGAAAUCACCAGAGAUAAUUCCAACAGCAUGGUGUAUCUGAAACUCUCUGGGGUGACAGCAGAAGACACAGCUGUGUAUUACUGUGCCCGAAGAGCACUGUAGCAGAAAUGUGAGGAAACACUGUACAAAAACACUAGCAUUGCUGCUGAUUCAUUUCAUCUGGCCAAUAGGUUUCAGAGACCAAACCAUCUCUUCUAUUUAAAUAAUGAAUCUCCAGAGCAGCAUUGUUUAAAUAAGGGUUUAUGAUUUCCUCAUUUAUUUCAUAUAGAUAAUAAAUGUUGCAUAAAUGCUUUUUCAUGGAAGGAUAAUAAAAAUGAUCAUUUAAAAAUUAGAUAAAAAAUGUUUAGAUUAUUCAUUUAUUUCUUAUUACUUUUAGUAAUUAUGACAGAAUGCAAACAUUUAGUAGUCUUUCAUUAACAUCAAAUGCAUUUUGUACUUUUGUCUUCCACUAAAACCUGAAGAGAACUGAAUUUCUACAAAUAGCUCAAUAAUGAAACUAUGGGGUUUGAUAUGUGGCUUGAUCUGGGGCUAUCUCAGAUA